CAAUCUGAACUUGUGUUAUUUCACCAACCAUUUACUGGGUCUUGUUAUGUAGUUGACAUUCAACUAUAGUCAUGUGAAUGUUAAAGCUUAUGCUGUUUUGUCUUCUCUUAUCGAGAACAGCAUCCUCAAAAUUCUGGACUUUAAUCGUGGAUUUGCUUUCAUUUUGCACUGCAACAACAUAUGUGCUGACUGUUCAAGGCAAAAAGUGGCAAGUUCUAUUUUCAAGCUGGAUGGCAGUCCCCCUACUGUCACAUGGGCUGAUCCAAAGAGUGCACCCGAUCACUCUGCUGCAUCUCAGCAAUCGAAGAUCAAGGAAGCAGUUGGUCUGCUGAGGCCUCACUUUCAAGAGUUGGAAGCCAUGGCAACAAUGGACUUCACUGCACUGCCAGUCGUAGGAUCAAGUUCUGUCACGCCAAGCUGAGGGAGUAGUUGCCCGGCCAUAGACUCUUUUGUGAGAUUCCAAAAUAGACGGGAGGAUCAUUUUAGCUGUACAAUUUUUGUUUCUUGGCCCUUGACGUAAUCAGUUCAUGUUAAUCAAUGAAAUGUCAGUUUGCUG